rnacentral:rRNA from 1 species
CCUACGGGUGGCAGCAGUGGGGAAUAUUGGGCAAUGGGCGCAAGACUGACCCAGCAACGCCGCGUGAAGGAAGAAGGCUUUCGGGUUGUAAACUUCUUUUCUCAGGGACGAAGCAAGUGACGGUACCUGAGGAAUAAGCCUCGGCUAACUACGUGCCAGCAGCCGCGGUAAUACGUAGGUGGCAAGCGUUAUCCGGAGUUACUGGGUGUAAAGGGCGUGUAGGCGGGACUGCAAGUCAGAUGUAAAAACCACGGGGCCAACCUGUGGCCUGCAUUUGAAACUGUAGUUCUUGAGUACUGGAGAGGCAGACGGAAUGCCUAGUGUAGCGGUGAAAUGCAUAGAUAUUAGGAGGAACACCAGUGGCGAAGGCGGUCUGCGGGACAGCAACUGACGCUGAGGCGCGAAAGCGUGGGGAGCGAACAGGAUUAGAUACCCCAGUAGUC